rnacentral:lncRNA from 1 species
UUUGAAUUUUUUAAAGAUUUAUUCAUGCUUAUUUUGUAAUUUCUUUGAGGUUUCUUUGGAUUUGAUUAAAGCUUGAUUAGCAUUAUUAAGAUCUAAUUGAAAAUAUUUAAGAUUCUAAUAGAAUUAAAAUCUUAUUGUUGCAAUUUUUCUUCUACCUUCUACAGCAAAAUGCUUUGUACGUUCUCAAGCAAGGCUUCAUAUAAUACAACAAUGUGGCAAAUAUAAUUUGUCGCAU